GCGGGCUCCGGGGCAGCGGGGAGGGGGCGGCGUGCGGGCGGCGGGGAGCCAGCGGCCGCGGCGACGCUCCCCGCUCUGGGCACCGGCACCGCGCAGGCCCCGAGUCCAGCAUUCUGGCCAUGUGCAGCCCUGAGGAGGAGGCCCUGCUGCGGCUGGAGGAGGUCUUCUCCGCCACCCUCGCCCGCAUCAACAGCCUCGUCCUCCAGCCCCUGCUCAUGGCUGAGCCCUCGGACCCCCAGGGCAGAGAGUGCCUGCGGCUCUUGCAGCAGCUACACAGGAGCUCCCAGCAGCUCUGGGAGGUGACGGAGGAGAGCCUGCACUCGCUGAGGAGGAGGCUGUGCCACCAGGACUCCGUCGGGCUGGAAUCCCUGCUGUUGUUGUGCGGCGCCGACCGCGUUCUACGGGUCCACGUAGAGUACAUCGAAGCCUACACUAGCUGCGUGGUGGUGCAGGCCUUUCAGAAGGCAGCAAAGAAGAGGAGCGAGUACUGGCGGGGCCAGCGGAAGGCACUGCGGCAGCUCCUGUCGGGCGUGAGCUCAGAGGCCUCCGUGGGCACAACGCUGGUCCAGGCGCUCCGCCAGCCGCUCGCCCAUCACGUGCAGCAGUACGUGCUCCUCCUGCUGAGCCUCGGGGACACCGUUGGGGAGCGUCACCCCACUCGGGAGCUGGUGGUGCACGCGGCCACCCUCUUUGGGAACCUAGAGUCCUUCAUGAGGCAGGCGCUGGACCAGGCCACCGCCACGCAGGCCCUCUGGCACACCCUGAGCAGCCGGCUGAGAGAUGUGCUCUGCACCCCUGCUCGCAGACUCCUGCAAGACAGCCAGGACAUACCUGUGACGGUCACCCCACUACGGGCGGAGCGUGUGCUGCUCUUCGAUGAUGCCCUGGUCUUGCUGCAGGGCCACAGCGUCCACACCUUUGAUCUGAAGCUGGUGUGGGUGGAUCCUGGGCAGGACGGGUGCACGUUUGAUCUCCUCACACCUGAGGAAGAGCUCUCCUUUUGCUCCAAGGACCCCCAGGGCCGGAUGGUCUGGCAGUGGAAGGUGACUCAGGCUGUGUGCCAGGCCCUGCGGGGGAAGAAGGACUUCCCCACGCUGGGGGCGGGCCUGGAGUCCCCCGAGCCCCCCACCUGCCGCUGCGUGGCAUACACCUUCCGCGCCGAGGGUCGGCUCUGCCAGGCCACCUACGAGGGCGAGUGGUGCCGGGGCAGGCCCCAUGGCAAGGGCACCCUGAAGUGGCCAGAUGGCCGGAAUCACGUGGGGAAUUUUUGCCAGGGCCUGGAGCACGGCUUCGGCAUCUGCCUGGUGCCCCAGGCCUCCGAGGACAAGUUUGACUGUUACAAGUGCCACUGGUGGGAAGGCAGCAUGUGUGGCUACGGCAUCUGUGAGUACAGCACUGACGAGGUGUACAAAGGCCACUUCCAGGCGGGCCUGCGGCACGGAUUCGGGGUCCUUGAGAGCCCCCCACAGGCCCCGCAGCCCUGCAAGUACACGGGCCACUGGGAGAGGGGCCAGAAGAGCGGCUACGGCAUCGAGGAGGAUGGUGACAGGGGUGAGCGCUAUAUUGGCAUGUGGCAGGCUGACCAGCGCCAUGGCCCAGGGGUCAUGGUCACCCAGGCAGGUGUCUGCUACCAGGGCACCUUCCAGGCGGACAAGAUGGUGGGCCCAGGGAUCCUCCUCUCUGAAGACGACUCCUUGUAUGAGGGCACCUUCACCAGGGACCUGACCCUUGUGGGGAAGGGCAAGGUCACCUUCCCCAAUGGCUUCACCCUGGAGGGCUCUUUUGGCAGCGGGCCAGGAGGAGGGCUGCAUACCCAGGGCCUGCUGGACACGGCCGCCCUCCCGCCAGAACCAAGUGGCACCCGUAAGAGGCAGCUAGGUGUGGGCGCCUUCCCCGCGGAGAGCCGCUGGCAGGGCGUCUACGGCCCCUUCCGGGACUUCAUUAGCGCCGGCUGCCCUGGGGACUUGCAGGAGGCCCUGCUGGGCUUCCACGUGCAGAACUCGAGGGAGCUUCGCAAGUCCCAGGAGUACCUGUGCUGCGAGAGGACCCAGCCCGAGGACCAUGCGGGCAGAAUGGAAGACGUCCUGGACGAGCUGCUGCAGCACCGGGAGCCCAGAGCCCUGCGGCAGUGCCUCAGGAAGGCUCUGAGCAACUCGCUGCACCCCCUGGGAAAGCUGCUCCGGACGCUGAUGCUGACCUUCCAGGCCACGUAUGCCGGCAUCGGGGCCAACAAGCACCUGCAGGCGCUGGCCCAGGAGGAGGUGAAGCAGCAUGCCCGGGAACUCUGGGCCGCCUACAGGGGUCUGCUGCAGGUGGCCUUACAGCGCAAGGGCCAGGCUCCAGAGGAAGACGAAGAUACAGAGACAAGGGACGUGCAGGUGCACGGAUUGGUGCUGCCCCUUAUACUGCCCAGCUUCUACUCGGAGCUCUUCACACUCUACCUGCUUCUCCACGAGAGGGAGGACGGUCUCUACAGCCAGGGCAUUGCCCACCUGAGCCUCUUCCCCGACACCAAGCUGCUUGAGUUCCUGGACGUGCAGAAGCACCUGUGGCCCCUCAAGGACCUCACGCUGACAACCAAUCAGGUGAGAAGAGACUCUCCCUGGUCAGGGACAAGUGCUUCCUGUCAGCCACUGAGUGUCUGCAGAAGAUCAUCACCACGGUGGACCCCCGCGAGAAGCUGGAGGUGCUGGAGAGGACAUACGGGGAAAUUGAGGCCACCGUGUCGCGGGUGCUGGGCCAGGAGCACAAGCUGCCCAUGGACGACCUGCUGCCGCUGCUCAUCUACGUGGUGUCACGUGCCCGAAUCCAGCACCUGGGAGCCGAGAUCCACCUGAUCCGUGACAUGAUGGACCCCAUCCACACGGGAGGCCUGUAUGACUUCUUACUCACGGCCCUGGAGUCCUGUUACGAGCACAUCCAGAAGGAAGAUAUGAGGCUGCACCGCUUUCCCGGCCGCGGGGACUCCAGACGGCCCUGGUAGCCCGGCCGCUCCCGGGCCGACCGCAGAGCUGAGAGGGGCCGCCAUGGUCCAGCCUGGCCCUCGUCGCCCACAGAGCGGAGGACAGGAGGGGCCCCUGGAGGCGGUUCCCGGAGGGGAGGGGCAGUUAGUUUCUUCCAGGGAGACGCUGCUGCUGCCUGCAGUGGGCCGAGGGUGAGGGUGACACGCGUGGGCCCGGAGCCGGGGGCUCCCCCUCCCCCUCGCCCUGCCCCUAGGUCGGUGUUGGAUGACCUCCCUGACCUGCAGCGGCUCACCGUCCUUUUUGCUGCCCGAGCCUGGCUCCCACACGGACGUCACGGGGCCUCGGCGUCACCAUCUGUUUACCAGCGGACUAGAUGGUCUGUGACGGGCCUUCCACCCGUCUUGCUGGAUCCCGGAGUCCUUCUGGAAGUUUGACUUUUUAGGCUGCCGGGCUGAGAUUCUUACAUCAUCGUCGGUGGUGUUCCCUGUUUCCUGGUCAGAGGCUCCACGUUGCUAGUGAGGCUGCUUUUCAUGAGGCCUUUUGACCACGGGUGGCCUCCUAGGGACCUGCCUCGUUCCCGACUCUGCCCGGAGACUGAGCUGGUCUCUCUGGGCUGCGGGGCUGGACAAACCCCAGUCCACCCUGACCUGCUGGGUGGCCUCCGGCAAGGUCCUAAAAGCCACACACCUGGAGCCCACGGGCCCAUGUGCAGGGGGACAGCAGUGGCAUGGGUCCGUCUGUGCUCUGUCCAGGCUCAAGACCCUGCAGGGGCAGGGGGAGGCCAGGGGGUCUCAAGGGGCUUGGGGAGGGGAUGGGAGGACUUUGUUCCGUGUGGGACUGAGAGACACGGGAGCUCGCUCUUGGGGCAGCCUCACCCCUGCCUGGCCUCAGUUUCUUCUCCCCACACCGAGGGGCUUCCACCUGGUGACCUGCGGGGGCUCCCCCUGCCCUGUCACAGGAGACGUGUGACAAUAGGCGGGGUGACUGAUCUAAAGUCCAGGGGCGAAGCAUGGGGAGAGAGUGGAUUUAUGCAGGGAUGUAGCCCUGGAGGGUGAGCUGGGCCCGGCCGCCACAGCCGCCCUGCCACCGUGCCCUGGAUCGUGAGCAACUCAGGUCACCGUCCUUGGCUCCAGGUGUGCUCUCCGUAAAUGAGCACUGACCUUGAGGCCCGUGAGGGAGGCUCUCAGAAAGCCCAGCCACUCCUGAGCCCCAGGCGGAAGCCCCCCAGGAGUCUCAGGGUGGGGGGCUGGUGGUGGCUGGGGGCACCCACAGACCCUGAGAUGAUGGAGGGCAGGAAGAGUGAGGAUAUCCGGAUGCCGUGGCCUUCGAGCUUACCCAGGACGCUGCCACUGCUACUUUAAUCCUCUCAACGGUGACCAGCUCCUUCUUGUCCUUUGAUGAGUAGAACACGCUUGCCUCAAGGCGGCCCUGAGUGGUAGGACGCCUGUAGCCUCACCCCAGAGGCUGCCCCCCCAAGCUCCCCCCAGCCCCCCACACCACCCGGCCUCCGUCAGGAUCCGAGAACUCUCACUGUAGCUCCGAUUCACCAGGACCCCUCCACCCGCCCUGUGGCCGGGCCUUGCCCAGUACCAGCGGAGCUGGUGCCUCUGGACAGGGACGGGAGAGGCCGAGGGCGGCCGCGCUGUGGCAGCCAAAACCCGAGACAGUGAGGACAUUGCCAGCCGAGGUCGGUGCUGCAUUUACAGAAGAGACGCUUGGAACCGGGCAGCCCGCCUGCCCUGUGGGCGCCUCGGGAGGCUGAUGGAGACGGGUCACCUGCGGGGACCCCAGCGAGGACCUCUCCCAGCUGCUGCGGGAGCUCCUUUGGCUGCAGGGUCCUACGUCUCGGGAGGUCAGGUUGGCCACCAGGACCUCAUGAUCCCCUGUGCCGGAGAGCUGCGAGCCCAAGGGGGCCCCGUUCCUUGACACCUGCAGGUGGCUUUCUGACAGGCUGCACGGGGCCGCGCCAGCCCUGUCCCCGGGGGACCUGGGUUUGGGGCGGAGAGAGAGACACCCGAGAGAUUAAAUGACCUCUCAGUGAGCAGACGCGUUGGAGUCACAGCCUGACCUCCCCCUCCCUUCCACGGCAGCCCUGGGCCUACAUGCGGCCUCCCAUGGCGCCCCUCAACUCCUGCUUCCUGCAUCCGCAUUUCCCUUCCUCCCCGCCUGCUCUCCAGCUCCCGCCCCUCGUCCUCGUUCUGUGCCCCACACGCGCCCUCCUCUGGUCCCCUGGGUCCCAGGCUGCUCCGUCCUCACAGGCCCAGCUCACGUGAGGCCCUCAUGUCCCAAGGAAUGAGCCCCCCGGCCCCGCUCCAGGGCCCGCUCCCUGGCCCAGUCGUGUUACUGGUGCCUGACGGUGGGUGCCUGCUCCCCCGCCCUCGAUCUCCAGGCGCAGCAACGCCCUCCGCCUCUCCCUGGGCCAGCAGCGAUGGCAGUGAGCGUGAGGGUGGAAACAGGUGGACUUGGGAAAGGUUGGACUGUGAAGCCCCGGGCUGGGUCCGCAUUCAAGACUGGCCGGGGUGGCAUCUGUGAAAACAGAAGCCCCUCGGGUGUGACCAGCACAGGCAGGGACCCACGUGGAACGGAGGGCUGGCCACGCUCAGGCCAGGAGCAGCCGGGAAGUUGUUGCCAAACCCUCAGAGAAAGGGGGGAAAAGACAACGCCCUCUCUGUGUGGGGCUCAGGUUCCUGUCCCUGGGGCACCACACCCGGCAGCAAUGUGGCCCGUCCAGCAGGUUGUCUCCGGGGCGCUAAUCUGUUGCGGGUGUUGCGCUCCCACAGCAGGAAAUGUCACGAGGCGGCCAGGUUUACACCUGUUGACCAGUUGUGGCUGGUGAUCGGUCAGGGCACAGAGGGGCCCCACGAAGCCCCCCGCCUCCCUCCCUCAGUCAGCGAGCCUCACCAGGGGCCUCUUGGAUGCCAGCCCUGUUCCCUGCACAGGCUACAAUCUGGGAUGUGGCCAACAAGGCCCCAGCCCUCUUCAGGUGAGAAGGGCCAGCUGUCCUCCCAGAAAGGGACCAAUGACAGGGAGUAGAGGAAGCGGGAGAAGCCGAGUCCACAGCUACUGAGAAUGGGAGCUGCCAGGCAUCUAGAGGGAUGCCAGUUCUGACUAGGUCUCUAUUCUGAUCGCCCCUAAGGGUGCUGGGAGCCAGGGCACGGCCCAGACAAACCCCUUGCCCACUGCAGCCUUGGACAAGGCUGGAGGGAGAGUGUGGGGGGGCAGCCAGAGGGGCGCGGGGCUGCUGGAGAAGCCUUAGCAAUGCUGAAGGGAGGCCAGCCCUCCCUGAGCGGGGACCUAAGUGAGCCUCGUGGCCUCAGCUGUCGUCUCUCCCAGAGGGAUGGCCGCCCACUGUGGGACCAGUGAGGGGCAGGGACUGCCCUCCUGUGGCCACUGGGAAAGGGGUAAGUUCAGGGUUAGAGUCAAGGUCAGUGUUAGGGGUUAGGGUUAAGGUCAGAAGCAAGGUCAGUGUCAGAUUAGAAUAAGGGUCAAGGUUGGAGUUCUAGUUAAGGUUAGAGUGAGAGGAAAUGUCAGGUUCAGGUCAGUUCAGGGUCCUGGUCCAGGUCAGGACUUUACUGGUUGGCCUUGCCCAGGUUUGUGUGGACGUGAGCUCUGGCUUUGACUCUUGCUGUGGGCCGGAACCAGGGGUGGGGGCCAGGCUGCCAAGGCCUUGGCGUCCCUGUGACCGUGGCCCAGUCCCUCCCCAGACUGGGUCUUGUUUGCUGUCUCUAAGAACCCUCACUGUGCAAGACCACUGUUCUGCCAUCCGGGGAAGGAAAGGAAGAGUGGGCAAGAGGUGAGGCUGGGGGUCUGGCGCCGUGAAGGUACCCGGGCAGCGACCCCUUCCAGAUGUGGUGCUGGUGCCGCUAGAGAGAAGGGCUCAGUUUGCAGAACGGGGCUGGAGUCACUAAGUACAGUGUUCAUGACCCACCUGAGGCUGGGGGCUACGGCCCGGCCCCUGCAGCGUCCUGUUGCGGUUUUAAACAAACAUUCAUUGAGCGUGGCCGGGACUCCAAACCGGUGGAAGUAAGUAAGACCCGCUGGUCCCCUGUGUUGGGGAGCGGCCGGUGUCUGGGCUCUCUCCCCUGGCGCCAGGGGCGGGGGGUGGUAAGGAGGGUUUGAAGCCUCGUAUCUAUCUGAAAUUCGCAUCUGAGGUUUGCCAAACAGGAGAUCUCUCAGCCCUGGCUCAUCAGCAAAUCAGAACCCCGGGGGCAGAGAACAGGGAGAGGCUGUGAAGGGGAAGGGGGGUCUAAGGGAGUAUUCAGCUGCCCCCCUCACCCCUGGGCCAAGCAGUCCUGUGACGCUUGCUGGACAGUGCAGGGGUGGGGGGGACACAGAGUUAGCCAGAGCGCUUGGAGUACCCUUGGGUGAAGGCUCCUGGUGGCUGGGGACAGAUGAGUCCUGCCCUGGAUUUUCCCUGGGGACAGUGACCCCUUCCCUUGCUCUGCUGGCUGGAAAGGACCUGCAGAGGCUGGUCUGCCCAGGGCAGCAUCGAGGCUCUUCCUCUGUGUGUCCUGAGCUGGGGCGGCUAUGCCCAGGACGGGGAGGGGCCUGGGUCUGUGUGUGGGGAAGGGCUAGCAGUCCUGCUCAUCUUACCCAGUCUUCCAACUGUCACUUCCAGGCCUGCCUUCGGAGGCAAGCGCUCCCCUGCCACCCCCCACAUCUGCAGUUCUCAGGAGACGAGUGGUGGGAGAAGAGAGCAGGGGACCAGCAAUGCACAUGGGACCUCCCUGAGACCCAGGUCUCGGGGCCACUGCUUCAUCCAAAGGGACCUUCUACACCCUGCUGGUCAUAUGGCCGCACCAGGCUCAGUUUCAGGAACCAAAAGAACACAAGAGGAACCAGGUGCAAACUGUCAGUUGGUGGGGGCGCCUGGGUGGCUCAGUCGCUUGAGCAUCUGACUCUUGAUACGAGCUCGGGUCGUGACCCCAGGGUCAUAGGGCCUGAGCCCUGCGUCGGGUCCGCACUGGGUGUGGAGCCUGGUUAAGAUUGUCUCCCUCCCUCUGCCCCUCUCCCCCACUCACACAUGCUCUCUCUCUCAAAACCCAAAAAAGCCCAUCAGUUGGUGCCCGCUCUGUAAAUGGUGCAGACAGGCUGUUUACCGGCAACCUCUGGUCUGUCUCUGACACCAGUGUAGGACCCUCUUAAUCAUGAGUUCAUGCAUUUCAUUCGGGUGUGGCCAAGGGUCAGUCCCAGGCCCCAGGCAUCCUCAGGGAUAAACGCAGGUGCCAGCCUCUGAGCUGAGACCAACCCUGUGCUUGCGCACUGAACCUUGCCAUUGCCUCCGAGGAAGGGGGGCAUCGGUGAUUGGGCGGCUCUUUGUGUCCCGUCCUGCGUGGGGCCCUGCUCGCUGCAGGAGAAGGAGCCCAGGAGGCACUCACAGUCUUCGUGGUCAGGGCAGGAAGGGAGGGCUGCGUCCUGGCAGAUGGCACCGUGGAACUGGAGCUCGAGGGAUGAAUUUGCCAGGCGGGGGGUUGGCACGCCUGGCAGAAGGAAAGGCAGGGACAGAGGCCGGGAAGUGGGGAAGGGCCCGGCUUUCCCAGAAUGUGGAGAACUGGUGAACCGAAUCAAGGAGAAGUCAGGCAAACCCAAGGUGAGAAAGCCUUGCAAAACCCGUGGGAGCCUUUUCCCACAUUUCCUGAUUUUCUCCCUCCUACGAUGUUGCCCUCUGUCCCCAUGAUGGUUGUCAAACACCCACCAAUUCUUUCUCCCUCUUCCCAUCGAGAUGCGGAGGCAAAAACCCCUGCCCUUAAACCUUGGCCUUGGACGAUGCAGUGGGACAGAGGCCACCAGCCUUGUGAGGCUGGGCUCCAGAAGCUCACGUGGCCUCUGCCGGUUCCCCUGGACAUCUGUGCUGGGAGCAUUUCACCACAGAGAGAGAAGUCUGCCAUCCUGAGCGGCCAUGUGGGGAGACCGUGUGGGGACAGCAGACAGAGAGAGAGGUGGACGCCCAGAGGAGCCAACUCAUCGGGGAUCUGGUUGUUUGGGUCUCCCAGCCCAGACCCUGAGCACGUGAAUGAGAACACUUCUGGGGUGACUGCAGCCUUGGCCACCCUCUGACUGGAACCUUAGGAGACCCCCCUACAAACAACAGCUGCCUGGCCUAGCCAGUGGGCCCCAGAUUCAUGAGCAAACCAAACAGCACUGGUGUUUCAAGCCACGGUUUGGGGGUGUCUUUUUAAUGUGACAACAGAUGAACGGAACAGUCCUUUCGCCAUUAUCCACUAUUCAUCAUUUAAUUAAAAACACUUUUAUAUGCUUCAUU